rnacentral:rRNA from 1 species
UACCAAAGCAAGUUGGUGGGUUAAUUGCCUAGAAAAGAUUUUUCAUAUGUCUUACUCGCCCGUACCGUAAACCGACACAGGUGGGUGAGUGUAAAUGCACUAAGGCGCGCGAGAGAGACCUCUCUAAGGAACUCGGCACAUUAGCCUCGUAACUUCGGGAAAAGAGGUGCUCACUUCGGUGAGCCACAGUAAAUUGCGUUUAGCGACUGUUUAACAAAAACACAGCACUCUGCUAAGUCGUUAAGACGACGUAUAGGGUGUGACACGUGACCAAUGCGGAAAGAUUAAGGCAUUUUGUUAGCCGCAAGCGAAGCUCGGUGCCAAAGUCCCCGUGAAUGUCGGCCGUAACUAUAACGGUCCUAAGGUAGCGAAAUUCCUUGUCGGGUAAGUUCCGACCUGCACGAAUCGUGUAACGACUGAACGACUGUCUCGGAGAGGAUCUCGGCGAAACUGUAACUGCGGUGAAGAUGCCGCAUGCCCGCAGUAGGACGGAAAGACCCUAUGCACCUUUACUGUAAGCUGGUAUUGUGUUCUGAUUAAUAAUGCGUAGCGUAGGUGGGAGGCUUUGAAGUGAGUGCUUCGGUGCUCAUGGAGCCGCAAUGUGAAACACCACUCUUUGCUAAUUAGGAUUCUAACCUCGAUUCCUGUCAACCAGGCGAGGGACAGUGCUUGCGGGUCAGUUUGACUGGGGCGGUUUCCUCCCAAAGAGUAACGGAGGAGCGCGAAGCUUGGCUCAGCACGGUUGGCAACCGUGCGUCGAGCGUAUGGGUAUAAGCCAGGUUAACUGUGAGACCUACAAGUCGAGCAGAUGCGAAAGCAGGCCCAAAUGAUCCGAUGGUUUAAUGUGGAAUUGCCAUCGCUCAACGGACAAAAGGUACGCUAGGGAUAACAGGCUGAUCGGUUCCAAGAGUUCACAUCGACGAACCGGUUUGGCACCUCGAUGUCGGCUCAUCGCAUCCUGGGGCUGGAGAAGGUCCCAAGGGUCCGGCUGUUCGCCGGUUAAAGCGGUACGCGAGCUGGGUUCAGAACGUCGUGAGACAGUUCGGUCCUUAUCCACUGUGGGCGCAGGAAUCUUGAGGGGUUCAUUCUCUAGUACGAGAGGACCGAGAAUGACGCACUUCUGGUGUGGCAGUUGUUCCAUCAGGGGCAUCGCUGCGUAGCCAUGUGCGGAAGAGAUAAGCGCUGAAAGCAUCUAAGUGCCAAGCUCAUCCCAAGAUAUGGAUUCCCGGACGCAAGUCCCUAAAGACCCCCGGCAGACUACCGGGUUGAUAGGUCAGGCAUGUAAGCGUCGCGAGAUGUUUAGUGGACUGAUACUAAUUGGUCGUGCGGCUUGAUCGC